AGUCGUACGCUUCUUUUUCCACCGGAGCUUGCUCCACCGGAAAAAGAAGAGUGGCGAACGGGUGAGUAACACGUGGGUAACCUGCCCAUCAGAAGGGGAUAACACUUGGAAACAGGUGCUAAUACCGUAUAACAAUCGAAACCGCAUGGUUUUGAUUUGAAAGGCGCUUUCGGGUGUCGCUGAUGGAUGGACCCGCGGUGCAUUAGCUAGUUGGUGAGGUAACGGCUCACCAAGGCCACGAUGCAUAGCCGACCUGAGAGGGUGAUCGGCCACAUUGGGACUGAGACACGGCCCAAACUCCUACGGGAGGCAGCAGUAGGGAAUCUUCGGCAAUGGACGAAAGUCUGACCGAGCAACGCCGCGUGAGUGAAGAAGGUUUUCGGAUCGUAAAACUCUGUUGUUAGAGAAGAACAAGGAUGAGAGUAACUGUUCAUCCCUUGACGGUAUCUAACCAGAAAGCCACGGCUAACUACGUGCCAGCAGCCGCGGUAAUACGUAGGUGGCAAGCGUUGUCCGGAUUUAUUGGGCGUAAAGCGAGCGCAGGCGGUUUCUUAAGUCUGAUGUGAAAGCCCCCGGCUCAACCGGGGAGGGUCAUUGGAAACUGGGAGACUUGAGUGCAGAAGAGGAGAGUGGAAUUCCAUGUGUAGCGGUGAAAUGCGUAGAUAUAUGGAGGAACACCAGUGGCGAAGGCGGCUCUCUGGUCUGUAACUGACGCUGAGGCUCGAAAGCGUGGGGAGCAAACAGGAUUAGAUACCCUGGUAGUCCACGCCGUAAACGAUGAGUGCUAAGUGUUGGAGGGUUUCCGCCCUUCAGUGCUGCAGCUAACGCAUUAAGCACUCCGCCUGGGGAGUACGACCGCAAGGUUGAAACUCAAAGGAAUUGACGGGGGCCCGCACAAGCGGUGGAGCAUGUGGUUUAAUUCGAAGCAACGCGAAGAACCUUACCAGGUCUUGACAUCCUUUGACCACUCUAGAGAUAGAGCUUCCCCUUCGGGGGCAAAGUGACAGGUGGUGCAUGGUUGUCGUCAGCUCGUGUCGUGAGAUGUUGGGUUAAGUCCCGCAACGAGCGCAACCCUUAUUGUUAGUUGCCAUCAUUCAGUUGGGCACUCUAGCAAGACUGCCGGUGACAAACCGGAGGAAGGUGGGGAUGACGUCAAAUCAUCAUGCCCCUUAUGACCUGGGCUACACACGUGCUACAAUGGGAAGUACAACGAGUCGCGAAGUCGCGAGGCUAAGCUAAUCUCUUAAAGCUUCUCUCAGUUCGGAUUGUAGGCUGCAACUCGCCUACAUGAAGCCGGAAUCGCUAGUAAUCGCGGAUCAGCACGCCGCGGUGAAUACGUUCCCGGGCCUUGUACACACCGCCCGUCACACCACGAGAGUUUGUAACACCCGAAGUCGGUGAGGUAACCUUUGGAG
rnacentral:rRNA from 1 species